CUCUGAUUCUUGCUGAGUGAACGUCAUUUUGACUCUGUCAUUUUCCUGCGCCAUUUCGUUUUCUUGUACACGAUGUCUGCUAAACGAACUUAUUCUGCAUCUAAUGUCCUGUUUGAAGAUCCUGACUUUCCUUUUCGGGACUCAGAUGACGAUUUAAUCGAUGAAGUGGAUCAGAUUUUUCUGGAAAAUCCUAUGGAUCUACCCUUGUAUUAUCAAGUGGGUUCCGGAUUUGAGACUUCUUCCUCAUCAGCUCGUGGCCCUGUGUAUAUGGCUGGCU